rnacentral:rRNA from 1 species
UACAGAGGGUGCAAGCAUUAAUCGGAUUUAUUGGGCGUAAAGGGCGCGUAGGCGGUGAGAUAAGUCAGAUGUGAAAUCCCGGGGCUCAACCCCGGAACAGCAUUUGAAACUAUCUUUCUAGAGGGUAGGCGGAGAAAACGGAAUUCCACAAGUAGCGGUGAAAUGCGUAGAUAUGUGGAAGAACACCGGUGGCGAAGGCGGUUUUCUAGCUUAUACCUGACGCUAAUGCGCGAAAGCAAGGGGAUCAAAC